AGCUUUGUGCAGUGGCAGUAUCAUAGCCAAUGAGGUUUAUCCGAGGCGUGAUUAUUGCUAAUUGAAAACUUUUCCCAAAUAUUCUGACCAUUUUUUAAUCAGGAUGUAUGUU
rnacentral:snRNA from 1 species